rnacentral:rRNA from 1 species
CAUUUUAGUUUGCUUGCAACUGAAGAUGGCGACCGGCGCACGGGUGAGUAACACGUAUCCCAUCUGGCGAUAACUCCGGGAUAGCCUUUCGAAAGAAAGACUUAUACCGGAUAGCAUACGAAUAUCGCAUGAUAUUUUUAUUAAAGAAUUUCGGUUAUCGAUGGGGAUGCGUUCCAUUAGUUUGUUGGCGGGGUAACGGCCCACCAAGACUACGAUGGAUAGGGGUUCUGAGAGGAAGGUCCCCCACAUUGGAACUGAGACACGGUCCAAACUCCUACGGGAGGCAGCAGUGAGGAAUAUUGGUCAAUGGGCGAGAGCCUGAACCAGCCAAGUAGCGUGAAGGAUGAAGGCUCUAUGGGUCGUAAACUUCUUUUAUAUGGGAAUAAAGUAUUCCACGUGUGGAAUUUUGUAUGUACCAUAUGAAUAAGGAUCGGCUAACUCCGUGCCAGCAGCCGCGGUAAUACGGAGGAUCCGAGCGUUAUCCGGAUUUAUUGGGUUUAAAGGGAGCGUAGGUGGAUUGUUAAGUCAGUUGUGAAAGUUUGCGGCUCAACCGUAAAAUUGCAGUUGAAACUGGCAGUCUUGAGUACAGUAGAGGUGGGCGGAAUUCGUGGUGUAGCGGUGAAAUGCUUAGAUAUCACGAAGAACUCCGAUUG